rnacentral:rRNA from 1 species
GACGAACGCUGGCGGCGUGCCUAAUACAUGCAAGUAGAACGCUGAAGAGAGGAGCUUGCUCUUCUUGGAUGAGUUGCGAACGGGUGAGUAACGCGUAGGUAACCUGCCUUGUAGCGGGGGAUAACUAUUGGAAACGAUAGCUAAUACCGCAUAACAAUGGAUGACACAUGUCAUUUAUUUGAAAGGGGCAAUUGCUCCACUACAAGAUGGACCUGCGUUGUAUUAGCUAGUAGGUGAGGUAAUGGCUCACCUAGGCGACGAUACAUAGCCGACCUGAGAGGGUGAUCGGCUACACUGGGACUGAGACACGGCCCAGACUCCUACGGGAGGCAGCAGUAGGGAAUCUUCGGCAAUGGGGGCAACCCUGACCGAGCAACGCCGCGUGAGUGAAGAAGGGUUUCGGAUCGUAAAGCUCUGUUGUAAGUCAAGAACGGGUGUGAGAGUGGAAAGUUCACACUGUGACGGUAGCUUACCAGAAAGGGACGGCUAACUACGUG